CACAUCUUUAGAUCCCGGGGGGGUCUACGGUUGCGGUUCAUGCAAGUGAAAAAGCAGUGAAGGAUCCCCAGCCUCUCACUCGCUCCGUGUGUGUGUGUGUGUAUGCUCCUCUCGCUGCCUCUGCUCCUGACAGUCUGUCAUUUCAGGCAUUCAUGCAACCCUCCUCCACCCCAUCCUCCUCCAGUUUUUCAUCCAGUGGUUAGGUCCUACUCACCAGAACCAACUCCCCCAUCAUCAGAUCUUCAGGAUCAUCCUUCCUCCAUCACCACCACCAGUGUCAAGGCCCAGCUUCAUCACCUCCCCAGAUAUUACUUCAUCAAGAUGGAGUCUAACCGCCAAAGGCUUUCUCCUGUUUGUACGCAUGACAAUAAAUUACGAGUCUCUCCCGGUUGGAAUUACAACUUGUGGUUCUGUCAGGUGGCAACAUCGCAACUGAAAAAAGAGGCUAAUGUCAAAGUUACAAAACCUGAAGUUCCUUGUAUGAUUACUGGUUGGCUCCAACAGCAAGUCAAUCCCCACCUUAUCCACAAGGCUACAUUUUUAGCAUCAUGCACCAUGGAGCAUAGGUGAUGUCUCAGAGACUAGCAUUAUACAGUCCCUCCCUGGGGUUUACAGGGUUUCAUGGUGUAUAUUUUCUGGCCACCUGGUGACUCACAGUAACAAGACUCGCGUCCUGCACGCUAGAAUUUGUUGUUUUCAUUCACACUUUGUUUUUAUAUUUAUUGAAUGAACAAACAAGAGUUAAUGUGUCAAUUAGUCAGCUUUAACCAUGCCAGCUGGAGGACUUAUGGAGUGCCAGGCUAGCUGCUUCCCCCUCACCCAGUCUUUGUCCUGUGCUCAGCUAAUUGUCUUUUUUUCUCCCCAAAACAUUUUUCAAACUGAAUUACUCGACUUAUGACGUUGUGCAACUCAAACCCAGAAUUAACUGUUGCCUUUAUUCUACAGAGGCUGAAGUGAAAUCACAGAUUUAUUCAGUGUCUUAUUAAUUGUACAAAUCUAUUCCAAUUUAAGAUCCCAUUUAGUAGAGUCUUUGAGACAGUGGGCACAGCUUGAAAUGUCACACAUGAAAACAUGCUGCACCACCUUGCAUUGUCUCUAUGUUAUUCUGGCUGCAUUUAUUAAGACUUGUAAUGUAAUGUGUUUCACACAGUUCAGUUCAAAAGUCAGACGCAUUAGACACUGACAUCCUUAAUCUAAUCACGCACAAUAACACUAGCACUGUUGCUCCCUGCACCAGCCUGCUUUGCUUCUGCUGAUAUGUAAAAUAACAUGACUAUAAGAGAAACAGGGGGUGCACUGGCUAUAUGUUCUAUCCACUUUUUCUUCACUUUUAAAGGAAUUUAUUGAUGGUUGUUGAUAGUUCAUAACAUAAGAGGCUUUUUCAACAGUCGAGUGACUGUAAUGGCCUUUU